GAGGUGCCUUGUAGUGGGUCCCCGGGGAACCCCACCCUGGCUGGCGGGCCUUCCUCCCCAGAGGCAGAGGAGGGGCGUGGUUUAGCCGAGGGCAAACGUGAUGGCCAGGCUGUUCAUUUCCCCGCGCCCUCCAGGCCUGCGCUGCGGUGGCUGCUGCGUGCCCUUGCAUUGCAGGCUCUGAACUUGCCCUUGCGGGGACAGACCUGGCGGCCCUCUGCCCUCUCUGCUCCUGCCGCCAUCCCUCCCCCGAGGCUUUGGGGUUCCCAAAGGAAAGGAAAGGAAGUGGCAGCCCCACUCCUCUGGGGACUGUCCUGUCAGAGUGGAGGACGCCCCCCAGUAAUCAGCUCAGCGCUUCCGGGGAAGGACAGCAGAUCUGCCUCUAUGCCCCUGGGUCCAUCUGAAAAAGGAAACGGCAAGAACUUACCAGCGGGGGCACUAGAGCGUCAGAAACCUCCUUUCACUAAGGACCCGGCGGCUCGGCCAGGGACGGACUGGACUCGAGCCCCUGGAGCUCAAGGACUCGGCUCUGCGGCUGGGCUUCUCUCCGGGAGUCGAUGAAUGCUGUCCCGUGUGCCCAACAGUCCCCACCACGCAGAGCACUGGCGUGCUGUCCCGCUCAGGCGAGGGGUUUGAAUGGCGCGCACGGUGAGAAUUCAGGACACGGAGCAGCAGCCCCGGGACCCCGUCACACAGCAGUGUCACACACGGUCUGCUCACACUCAGGGUCUGGGCCCAUGGUGACGUAUCGGGUCCCUGUCACACCUCCAAGUGCCCUGUUAUCAGACCUCUUAGAAGUAGAAGUUGCCCUGGCCAGUUUGGUUCAGUGCAUAGAGCGUCGGCCUGCGGACUGAAGGGUCCUGGGUUCGAUUCUGGCCAAGGGCAGGUACCAGGGUUGCGGGCUCCAGCCCGGCCCCUGGUCGGAUUGGGUGCGGGAAGCAGCCAAUCAAUGUGUCUCUCUCACCAAUGUUUCUCUCUGCUCUCCCCAUCCACUCCUUCUAAGAAUCAAUGAAAAAAUAUCCUCUGGUGAGAAGUAACAAAAGAAAUACAAGUUAUUUUGGGAGCUGAAACAUUUGUACAAUUCCAGAUCGUUUGUUUCAUAAGCGUUCCUUACGGAAGUUUUAU